UGAAGAGCUUUCUGAAAUGGGCAGCGGAGCUGGGAAUAUCAGAUUCUCCUUCAACUUGUACAACCCAAUCAGAUUCAUGUUUGGGAAAAACCCUUUGUGUCGCUAAUUUCCCUAAAGCCGGAGGGAGAGGUUUAGCAGCUGUUCGUGAUAUUAAGAAAGGGGAAUUGAUUCUUAGAGUUCCAAAGGGAGCGUUAAUGACUAGUCAAAAUCUUAUGAUGAACGAUGUGGCAUUCUCCAUUGCUGUCAAGAAUCACCCUUCUCUGUCCUCCGCACAGAUAUUGGCUGUUGGAUUGUUAAAUGAAGCGAA
rnacentral:misc_RNA from 1 species